rnacentral:miRNA from 1 species
UACAGUGACCAGGUGACGACGGAU